UUUAAAAUUGUGUUCUUUUAUUUGCUCUUGGCUGCAUUUCAAUUUGAUUUUAUGCUCGUUCAUUUAAUAGUAUGAUUAAUUUGUUUUUUCUCGUUCUAUUAUAGAGAUUACCCGAUAAGUUAAGUUUAUUCUGAUACUGCCGGAAUAUCUACAGAUGGGAUAGGAUGGUGUGCAAUGGUGAAAUUCUACCUGCAUUAUUACCUGCAAAUAUGAUACCAUUGAUUGUAGGAGUCCUCUUCUCCAGAAAGUAGGAGUAUCCCAAGAAAUUCUAAAAGUGCCUUUUUGCCACAACAAAGACAUUACUUGUUCAUUUGUGGAAAUGAAUUAUCAACAUGAAUGGUAUACUACACAGAAGUUAACACAGUCAAGAGUACUCGGGAUGCCAUGUAUUAUGCGACAUUGGUUCCUCAUUCACUCUAGGUAGUAGAAGUACCUGAAGUCCUGAGGAGAGCGUGAAGGUGCCUUUUUUACAUUUGGAACAGAAACAGUGUGUUAUUGCUAAAGGAAAGAUUUAUGAAACUAUGAGACGGAUUGAUUGGUUAACAAAUGGGGGAGAUUGGAAAGUUAAUUUUAACCCUAACGAUGACUACAUGGGAUGUCUGCAUGGGUAUCCUUUCUGAAUUUGGUUUUCAUUCCACACAUGUAAACGUUGAAACAUUACAUUCUACAGCUAAUUCAGAUUGGCCAACAAUUAAGAGAGAUUGGAACUGAUAUCGUUGCUUACUGAAAAGAUAAGUCGUCUUUUAUGGUGUUUUAGCUGUUAACCUUUCAUCUUGGAGGCUCUUGUAGUUAAUUAAGGAACAUUAGGAGAACUCUGGAUACCUUUAAAUUAUGAAAUUAUGGAGCAUUGGUUGAAUUAGUUCUCAUUUGCCCUGCAAAGUAGCUAUGCCCAUGGUUCAUAAGAAAGCAUGAAACUGCCUUUUUUUCAUGGGGAACGAAGACAGUGUGCUGAAAAAGGAUUUAUGACAAUGAAGUGAUUGCUGUCCCACAAAUGAGAACGAAUUGCAGUUAAUUUUGGUGCUACUAAAACAACUGAUGCUUUUGACGUCUUCACCUUGCAACAUUAUGCAGUUAAUUUUUGCCGUAACAAUGGGAGGCAAUUGGAAAUUAACUAAUUUGGAUGCAACCGAAACAAGAAAUUAUCUGCAGUAGUAUCCCUCCUAGAUUUGGUUGAUUUGCUCAUCACACUGGUAGACUUUAGAACGCCACUUUCUACAAUUAAUUAAGGUUAUACGAUAAAUGAGAGGGAAUUAAUGUUCAGUAUGGUUAUACUGAAACAAUUCAUGUCUACAUGGGUGUGGUCUUUCCUGGAUUAUAUUCUUGAUUUGCUGUUUCGUCUUCGACUUGUAACAUCAUACAGUUAAUUUUCGACCCAUGAGCGAGUGCAACUGGAUAUUUAUUUGAAUUCCACUGAAAUAAGAAAUUCUCUGCUACAGUAUUCCUCCUCGAGUUGGUUUACUUUUCACACCUGUAAACUUUGGAAUGUUACG